UGCAAAAUGGUCCUGCACUGGGUCAUGAUCCUAACUGCUGUCUCGGAACUGUGGCUUUUAAGAUGUUUGAGCGGAGAGAGCAUAUGCAACAGGUCUAAUAUUGGCAGCAUCAACAUAACCACUGAGCUGCGGUCUGAUGUUCUGCUGCCAUGUUACUUUGAACCGGUCCUCCUCGGAUCAGACAUGACUGCAGAUAUAGUAGCAGUGUGGAUUCAGGAGAAUGAAGCAAUACCUAAUCUACUGGAGAUCACUCUGCAGGGUGACGUCAGGUCCUGGAAUAUCAAAGGUGGACGUAUUAAAACAUUCUCCAAACUCUCAGUAUCUGGAAAUUUCUCCAUCCUCCUCCAUAAAGUGAACCAGUCUGAUCUGGGUCUCUACCGCUGCGAGCUGUUUAAGGGGAUAAACUGCAGCAUUGCAUACCAGGACAUUGGCUUACAUACAGUGAAAGGGUCUCAUACCCAGAAUGCUUUGGUGCAGAACUGGCUCUUCAUAGCUGGGGGAGGAGCAGUCGCUCUUCUUGUUCUUGUGGUUUCACUGUGUGGUUUGAAGCGCACAUGUGCCAACGCAUCAAAUAGGUCACUCUAUGAAAACACAGGUUUUCAACAAAGUUCCCCUGCCUCCAAGGUCAGCUGCGGUACAACCCCGUUUUCUGCACAUGACAGUGGUUCCCUUUUCUCUGGACAACCUGGCAAGCAGAAAAACAUGGAACUCAAUGAAAGGAAAGGCAACAGUUGGUUUGACGCAUCAAAUAGGUCACUCUAUGAAAACACAGGUUUUCAACAAAGUUCCCCUGCCUCCAAGGUCAGCUGCGGUACAACCCCGUUUUCUGCACAUGACAGUGGUUCCCUUUUCUCUGGACAACCUGGGGGAGUGUAAUCUGUUUGCACAGUGUAACACAAAGACCAAAAGGCAGCAAAUGGCAUGGCAGGUAUACAAUUUACAUGCACAAAGUUCAUUCAAUGAACCAAGUUACGCCAGCCUUAUGUGUGUUCUUACAUGUACUGCAGUUUCCAUGGAAGACUGAGUAGGCAAGCAGAAAAACAUGGAACUCAAUGAAAGGAAAGGCAACAGUUGGUUUGCAGCCAAGUCUGAAAGUGGAAUUU